rnacentral:rRNA from 1 species
UAGUCCACGCCGUAAACGAUGAAUACUAGGUGUAGGGGUUGUCAUGACCUCUGUGCCGCCGCUAACGCAUUAAGUAUUCCGCCUGGGGAGUACGGUCGCAAGAUUAAAACUCAAAGGAAUUGACGGGGGCCCGCACAAGCAGCGGAGCAUGUGGUUUAAUUCGAAGCAACGCGAAGAACCUUACCUAGACUUGACAUCUCCUGAAUUACCCUUAAUCGGGGAAGCCCUUCGGGGCAGGAAGACAGGUGGUGCAUGGUUGUCGUCAGCUCGUGUCGUGAGAUGUUGGGUUAAGUCCCGCAACGAGCGCAACCCUUAUUGUUAGUUGUUACCACUUAGUUGAGCACUCUAGCGAGACUGCCCGGGUUAACCGGGAGGAAGGUGGGGAUGACGUCAAAUCAUCAUGCCCCUUAUGUCUAGGGCUACACACGUGCUACAAUGGCUGGUACAGAGAGAUGCUAAACCGCGAGGUGGAGCCAAACUUUAAAACCAGUCUCAGUUCGGAUUGUAGGCUGAAACUCGCCUACAUGAAGCUGGAGUUGCUAGUAAUCGCGAAUCAGAAUGUCGCGGUGAAUACGUUCCCGGGCCUUGUACACACCGCCCGUCACACCAUGAGAGUUGGCAAUACCCAAAGUUCGUGAGCUAACGCGUAAGCGAGGCAGCGACCUAAGG